rnacentral:misc_RNA from 1 species
GAUGAAGAACGCAGCGAAAUGCGAUAAGUAGUGUGAAUUGCAGAAUUCAGUGAAUCAUCGAAUCUUUGAACGCACAUUGCGCCCCUUGGUAUCCCGAGGGGCAUGCCUGUUCGAGCGUCAUUUCACCACUCAAGCCUGGCUUGGUGUUAGGCGACGUCCCCUUUGGGGACGCGCCUCGAAACGCUCGGCGGCGUGGCACCGGCUUUAAGCGUAGCAGAAUCUUUCGCUUUGGAAGUCGGGGCCCCGUCUGCCGGAAGACCUACUCGCAAGGUUGACCUCGGAUCAGGCAGGGGUACCCGCUGAACUUAAGCAUAUCAAUAAGCGGAGGA